AAGCUCUUGAAUCAUGGAAGUAAUGCAUGAAUGCAUCAAGUAAUCCGGAUCAGAAUAGUAAAACCAAAGAAGCACAACUUUUAUUCCCGCAGAUAGUCUUAGCCUAGGUUACAUAAAUUAAUGCAUGAAUGCAUGAGCAGCAGCUGCAUGCAAUAUUAUUGAACCCAAAUCACAACAAAAGGAAAACUUAAGACAAUGCCACUUUCGCAGGGAACGCGAUUGCAUUUAGCGUAUGCAACAAGCCUUUUAAACCUAUAGGUGACCCUGAUAGGACGAGUGAAGUCUCGUGAGGGUUUCCAGUGACGCUACCCACAAACAUCGUAUUAACUUAACAGGAUGAUCAUCCUGGAAGUUUUUCGACAAUGAAGAAAUGUUCAUGGGUGGGGCCUCCAGGUUCUGCAAUGAGGGCAUUUUCGAACUCGUUUCCAGAUUUUGGCUUUAAAAGGUUUCCCAUUUUCUCAUGGUGGAACUUGUAUAUGCCUUCGGUGUACGGUCCUGGUGGUUUCACAACCUCAGGCUUGAAGAGUGUACAUGACCACAGCGUUUUAUUUGGCUGUUUCUCGUCAGCCCCGGCCACAAUCCACGAACUGUCUUGGCUUGCCGUUAUCCAGUAUUUGUCGUUGUAGGUGGAUUUUAUAUGCACCAGACUGGGGAGGUUUACGUCCUUCUCCACUUUGAACCUUGCGUAUUUGCUCUGAACAUCCUCUCCGGAGCAUUGGAGAAUAUCUUGCAUCUUUUCGGUGGCUUGGUCUUUGUAGACCAAGUAUUUACCGCUCGUGAAUGAUUUAAGAGCAAUGAACUUUGGUAAUUCUGCCAUUUCUGAUGAUCUCUCGCUCGCGCUUCAAUUUUUUUUUAUGUAAACUCACUUCUCUCUCUCUCUCUCGUUGCUUAUUGCUUUUCCUAACUCCAACCUGCUGUGCUAUUUAUAAUCAAGCAAACCCAAACCCUGCAUGCAGCUCUGGCUUCUUUUUCUUGCUGUACUGGCCCGCGAUAAGAAAAUUGAAGCCACAAAAAAAAAAAGUCGAGCCAGGUGGCAGUUUUGAAAGGUCAAGUAAUAUUGUUCUUGAUAUAAAACAAACUAAAGCGUGCUCCACGUCUUCAAAUAAAACAAAGUUAAGGCUAGUAAUUAUCGACAUCGAUAUUUUGCGAUAUUAUCGUCGAUAUUGUCAAUAUUUAUACGAUAUGUACAUGGAUAUGUUUCGAAAUAUCCGUGAUUCAAAAAAACCGAAAUAUCCUCGAUAUUUCCUCGAUAUUAUCGAUAUUUCAGACUAUGAUGUGAACUUGAUUAUGUAAUUUCUACUACAUGCACUUAUGGGACAUAACCAUUUAUCAAUUAUAAUAAUGUCACAUAAAAAUUGAAGCCACAAAAAAAAAAAAGUCAAGCCAGGUGGCAGUUUUGAAAGGUCAAGUAAUAAUGUUCUUGAUAUAAAACAAACUAAAGCGUGCUUCACGUCUUCAAAUAAAACAAAGUUAAGCCUAGUAAUCUAUUCUCUGUUGUAAUGUGAACUUGAUUAUGUAAUUUCUACUACAUGCACUUAUGGACAUAACCAUUUAUCAAUUAUAAUAAUGUCAUCGACUAGGACUGAACAGCGACGGCUGAAGGCCCAGCUCAUUCUUAAUCUUAGGCAACACAUGUGCUGGGUUUCAUUUCAUAAAUUCAUAACCAAACCAAGCUAGGUCAUAGAAGGAAGCAAAUUAAGCAAUUGAAAUCCACAUCGGCUGAAAAAAUCUCUCUUGAAAAACCAUAUAAUUGGAGGGUCUGCAAAACUAGACUGUGUGUACGUAGCCAACUUUAUUAAAAUGCCAAUUCAAGUCCUAUGAACACACAUUUCCUUGAAAGUUGCUGGCCAAAUUUUCUUUGUUUUGGUUUUCAAUGAGUUCGAUUUCCUUGAGCAUCACUGAAAAGAUAUUAUAUAUGUGAAAUCUUUUUGUCAGUCUUUGAAUUUACCCAAUGUGGGUGAUCAAUUUUUAUGAUUGCAUUCUAGACUUCUCCUUAGUACAAAACAAAACUACGUGAUUGAUUGAAACGUCAUUAAUUAAUUUAGACAUAUAGGCAUUUGCAUUAAUUCAUUCUAGAUAGUAGAUACACAUCUCCAUAACGCAGAAAGAAUUAGCAUGUCCUUAAUGUGAACUUCGUUAAUAAAUUGAAGAGGAGUUGGAGAACAGUUAGAUGAAUGAAUUAAAGAGGAGUUGGAGAGACGCGGAUGCAAGGGCACACUAAGAAAACUACAGGGUUUAUUUAUAGUUUUAGUGCUAAUAAUGGGUAUAUGACUAAAUAUCUCUAUAAAAAAAAUUAGUGAAUUUAAUCAGAAUGUAAUGACUUAUAGAAUUUUACCUUGGGGCACUUUAAGUCCGUUCCUCCUUAAUAAAGCAUCACUUAAUAGAUUUGAAUUAUGAGCUGAACCCUCCCACCCGCUAAAAACGUAAAUGAAUUCUAAAUCAAAGUUACAAGCUACUGAAACCAUUUAUCAAUUAUAAUUAUGUCAUUAAUUAGGAUUGAACAAUAUGAUUGUAAUGCCAUUUCUAAAGCGUGCUUCACGUCUUCAAAUAAAACAAAGUUAGGCCUAGUAUUUUCUUCUUUAUUGUUUCGGUGCUUAAUGUGAACUUCAUUAUGUAACUUCUAUUACUUGUACUUAAGGGCCAUAGCCAUUUAUCAAAUUAUAAUGAUGUCAUUAAUUAGGAUUGAACAACAAGGUCGUUGAGAUGUUUACAUACUUUAAUUACAGACAUAUGAUAAGUUUAGGAGAGUGAUAUGUAGUUUCAAUUAUUCCUUUCACACAUACCCUAAACUUUAAACCCUAAACCCCUUUCUCUUAAGCAAAAUCUAUCGGUUUUGGGUAAGUUUGAGACACUUGUGGACGAUUGUUUUUAAUUUGGACCCUAUGAAAAUACCUGUAGGAUGUCUAUAUAAAUACCUAGAGAAGGUUAAAUAGGCUAAUUCGAUUUUUGCAAUGAAUAAUAAUCAACUUUUGAAGUAGGAUUGAUAUGAGUUAUCAAUCCUGAAAUGUGCAGAGCUUAAAAUAAAAGAACACACAGAUAUUUAUUUUACGUGGUAAAACCCCACAUCUGGGGAAAAUCCACGGGACUCCUUAGUCCAGAACGAAUCCACUAUAGAAUUGAGAUUACAAGAAGUUCUCACACACACUUAUCCUAGACUCAAUGUUUACCGACUUAUUCAUAAUGUUUACCGACUUAUUCAUAACUCAACUUUUGUCAUGGGAUGAUCUUCGACACUCCUUAUGUUGAACGCAAUAUUGGUCACGAUUGCUUCAAGCUCACCGGAGGAUAAACGCCACAAACGUCUUGAUGCCCUUGACCGUAUGAGCCACUGACAUGCAUAUGUAUGCAAUAUGAAUGAUGAAUGAGUUUGAUAAAUCACCAAGCAACCAGGAGCCCUUGAUGACUUACCGAGAAAAAUAAGUACAGUAGCUUUUCCAAAAAACAGAUUCAAUAUGCUCUCAAAAUCAAUGCGUUGAAAUGCUACACUAUGAAAAGAAGACACCUUGGUUUUAUUCAAAACAGGUUCUCUCAGUCAAGAGAAACCUACUUGACCACCAAUCCAAUUCACGAAAGACUUUCAACCUUAUUCAACUACCACACAACAAAACCUGAUGCAAUAUGGACACUAGUUAAACAUGUCAAACAGGAGACCACUCAUACUGUUCAAGCAUGAAUGUUUCUUUUGAUUCAAUUUACAUGCUAUGUGAUGAUGCCAGCUAAUGCACGAUGUGAGGAAACCUCAUGACUUUCUACUACAGCCAAUCCUUUAAAACAAUAUCUACCUAACAAAUUAAUUAGACCGAUCAAGUAGGAAAUAAUAUCAAGAGAUAAAAUAUAAUCUUAUUGAAAAUAGGAUUAACAUAAAAAUACUUGAGUGAAAAUAAUUUCAAUUAGGAGUCCUAUAAUGAAUGCAUGAUUAUGUUAUGAUUUACCUGUUGUCAAGUUUCUCAUAUGGUCAGGUCAUGCCUCGGAAGUAUAGGGUUGAGAGAGUUGUGCCAAAGCGUCCAGUAACAAUUCCUCACAAACUAAUUUUCAACUUAUGCUAAAGUCUAGGAAAUGCCAAUACGAUUUUCGUACUAACACCCUACAAACAAAUAAAUUAAAGAAAAAAAAGUAAAAGAAGAAAAGAAUAUAAAUUCAUAUAUCUCAAUUUCUUGUGUGAAGCUUUUAAAUUCAUUUCAAAACUAAAAUUAAAAUUUAUUUGUUUUGGUUUUCAAUAAGAUUAAGUUGGAUUUCCUAAAGCAUCAUCACUGAUCUGAUGGCAUCAGAUAAGUCUUUGAAUUACCUAAUGUGAUUGAUUGAUUGGAAUGUAUCCUUAAUACUAAAAAAAAACCAUGUGAUCGACACGUCAUUGAGCACUUCCACUCUAUCGGCAAGGGCAAGGCAAGAGCAAGAGUUUAGGAUAAGAUUUUUAGUUGCCACUUGUCCAUAUUUAUUAUAACAUUCACAUCUCAAAUUUCAUAUAAAAUUUUCGAAUAAGAUUUUCGAUUGCCACGUAUCCAUAUUUAUUAUAAAAUUCACAUUUCACUCAUCAUACAAUUGAAAUACUUGUUCACUCAUCAUACAAUUGAAGAUAUCAAGAAAUUUCGAAAAUUGGGCAUCCACUUUGUUUUUUCGAAGACGUUGAGGGAACGGAAUUGGCGGUACAUAUGGCUUUACAAGGGCAGCAGGUUGAGAUAAUUUCUCUACAGUAGCAGGUUCAAUUUCUGGAGAAAUUUCAUCAAGUUGUGCAGUAGUUCCAGCAGUAAUAGACGACGACGACGGCACGUUAGUAAUUUCUGAUGUCUCUGCAGUUUGUUGAUGGAUAUUCUUUUCUUCAUCCAAGUCUACUGCUGUUUUUAUUGGCCUCCCAUUCCAAAGAGUUAUCGCCCUCGCAUGUUCUUGGUUUUUCGGAUUAUUCUCUGUUUGGCUUGGCAAAGCUCCAUUUACUCUUCCUGUCAAUACAUUAGCUAGCUGGCCCAUCUGAACCUCCAAGUUUCGAAUAGAGGCAGCUUGGUUCUGAAGGGUCGUCUCGGUUUUGCUCAUAAAUUGAUUUGUAUUGACAGAGAGAGUGUUGACAUUUCCAGCAAGUUGAGUAAUUAUAUCCUCCAAUCCAUGCUUCUUUUCUUGAGGUGUGAAAUCAGGUGGAGGUCCCUGUACAUUUUGGUUAUUACUCCAUGGAAAAUUCGGAUGGUUCUUCCAUCCUGGGUUAUAAGUGUUGGAGUAAGGAUUAUUCCGUUGUCGAUUAAAAUUAGAGACUUGGUUCACUUGUUCAGAUGGUGAUGUGAAUGGACUAGCUCCACACUCAUUGCCAUGAUGAGGUCCUGCACAAAAUUCACAACUUAAAUUAGUAUACUGAAUAGCAUUAACAUUUAUAGUACCAAGUUGUUUAGACAUAGUAGAAAUUUGCGCAGUUAACGCAGAUAUGGCGUCAAUCUCAUGAAUUCCAGCUUUCUUUGGUGUUGAUCUCUCACUAGGCCAUUGAUAGUUAUUUGACGCCAUCUCUUCCAGCAAGUUAUACGCUUUAGUUUCUGUUUUUCCCAUCAAAGCUCCUCCGGCUGCAGCAUCAAUUGUUGUUUUGCUUGUAUUGUUCAAACCAUUGUAGAACGCUUGAACUUGCAUCCAAGUAGGUAGGGCAUGAUGUGGGCACUUCCUUAGCAUAUCCUUGUAUCUGUCCCAUGCUUCAUAAAAAGGUUCCAUGUCAUUCUGAGCAAAUGACAUGAUGUCAUUUCUGAGUUUCGCAGUCUUUGCAGGAGGAAAGAAUUUAGCUAAAAAUUUCUUGGCCAAGUCGUCCCAUGUAGUAAUCGAAUUAGGUGGUUGAGAAUUCAACCAUGACUUUGCCUUUUCCUUUAAUGAGAAAGGAAAAAGCCUUAAGCGAACAGCAUCAUUGGUAGCUCCAUUGCGCUUAAAUGUGUCACAUAUCUCCAAGAAAUUAGAGAUAUGCCUAUUAGGGUCUUCUUGAGGUAAACCACAAAAGAUGGAGGAUUGUUGAAUCAUUGAAAUUAUGGCUGGUCUGAUUUUAAAAUUAUUGGCAUCAAUGGUUGGACGACGAAUGCUCGAUGGUGAUGCCACCACAGAUGGGACAUCAUAGUCCCUUACUGGUUUUGCUUCCACAGCCAUAGGUGAUGGCUUUUCCAAUAUUGCGUCCUUGCCCCUUUUGAGUUUGUUAAGCUUGUGAAGUGUUCGCUCGAUCUCUAGAUCUAAUGGUACAAGCACAAGACUCUGCGAACGUCUCCCAAAACUCAUGCACUAGGUGAAGUACCUAAAAAAACAAAAAACAAAAUUCAAAUUAAAAUUCAAAUCAAUCUAUAUCGAUAUUAAUAAAAUUUAAAACACUCUCCGACGGCGGCGCCAAAAACUUGUUGUGAUAUUUAUUGCAAGCGCACAAUUCGCACAAGUAAUAUAGUGAUGAGUGAAGUGUCGUUCCCACGAAGAGUGAUUUAAUUUAACAAGUACCGAUUGUGAUUAACCCAAGACUUUAUUUGAACAAUUGAUGAUGAGAUUUGAUUGAUUAAUUAACUAAAACAAUGAAUAAAAACAAGCGUAGAAAAAUAAAGUAGUGAGAUUCAAGUUAUGAGAGCACUAGAGCUUCCGAUUUCACCAUAGCCAAUUCUACCCAAUUCCUUUAGCAUGUUAAUCCUAAUUAUUCUCUAUGUUGACAGUUGAUUUUCCCUACUUUAUUCGAUACUCCAUCCCUGGUUAUACCAAAAGUAUUCUUAUUACCAACCCACUCUAUCCCUAGUAAUGGAAUUAAGAUAAUAAGAACCCAUUAAAUUCCUUGGAAAACCUACAAAACAACCACAUAAGUCAUGACAAACAUCUCUGUCUAAUCAUGUAACUCAUGACAUCUAUUACAAGAAGCAACCCCAAAUUGGAUAUUCCUAUUUUCAAUUUAGCAUCAAAACAAUUAAAUGUUGGCCAAACAUUCAAAGCAUUAAGCAUGGUAAUAAAUACUCAACAUGGAAAAAAUACUUGGAAUUAACAUCGACUAAAGUAAUUGAGCAUUCAUGGCUAGGCUACAUCGUAGCCCUAGCAAGAAGAAAUUAGUUCAUGACAACUUUAAUAAAAACCAUGAUAAAUAGUAUCAUAGGAAAGAAGUAACCAAUUGAAGAUUUGAUCUCUGCACGACAGCAACUCUAGCUCCAGGUUGUCUUCUUUGUCUCUCUAAAACUCUCUCAACAAUAGAUGAUGGGUAGAUGAUGGAGGAUGGAUGAUGGGUAAUGGAUCCUUUCAACAAUGACCUAAACUCCCUAUUUAUAAAACUCCUAGAAAUCCUACCUAAAGAAUAAUUACAAUUGUUAUAAAAAUAGGAUUCCUUCUAAAAUAAGGUCUUCUUUAUUUCUCCUUGUUUAACUUGAUAAGACUUGCACCAUCUUGAACUAGGAAAUUUGACAACAUUCCUUGCAACAAAAGGAAUGACUUGGCUUCUUUUUUUAUUGAUUUUCAUCUCCUUGCCUUUUUUAGCACACUUUCUCCUAUUUCACAAUUCCUUCACAAAUCUCACAAAACUAAUUAAAAACAACCAAUUUAAUCCAAGAAAUUAAUAAAUAAAUAAGCAAAGGAGGCAUAAAAUAUAUAUAAAAUAUAGACUUAUCAAAUACCCCCAAACCUGUCUUUUGCUAGUCCUCGAGCAAAACUGAAAAUCAAAAAUAAAUUAAAACAAACAAACUAAAUUAAACCACUUUUGCAGGUAAUCUCGAUGGCACUUAGCAUGUGCCACAAGCCUUUAAACCUCUAGGUGCCCCUAGUAGGAGGAGUUGUGUCUCUUGAGGGUUUACCAGUCAUGACACCCACAGACACUUCUUGCAAAACAAAUUCGUUAAAGCAAUACUUCCAACAAACUAAUAAUAACCAAUGAAUGCUAAUCACAAUUCAAAAACUAAAGUUAUGCCACUACAAAUAAAAUGCACCAUAGUGUAAAGUGUAAAGUGUAAAGCCAAAAAUCCAACAUUGAAACAUAAAGAUAACCACAUUAGGCGUGUGUACAAAUUCGUCUCGACUCUAGGCCUUACUGGAUAACUCUCAAUUUUCUCACAGAACCUAGGGUUGCACUCUUACCCCGCAUAUGUGAAUAAAGUUAGGUGAAGAAUUCAAAAUAUAAGACACAUAUGCAUCCAAGAAUCAAUAAAAGGAAAUUUCUAACAAUAGAUCUCAUGGAAAGGAAAUCAAAUACUAAAAACCAUAGAUGAAGUACAUACCUCUACUUCCGAGUAAGAAGUCCCCAAAAAUCCGUUAGGUCUUUACUAUGGUUGUAAUGAAGGGCUAGGUUAUGGGUUAUGAAAGAAAAGGAAGGAAAUACUAGAACUUGAGACAUGCCAAGGCAUUUAUCACGUUAUAAGGCUCGGCUCUUCAAAUUUACUUCACAGAGGCGUCCAGGAUUUUUGAUAUGCUUCACAUUUUUUUUUCUUUAAUAGAUUUCUCUUUUUUUUUUUCCUUUCUUUUUAUUUAUUUAUUUAUUUUUAAGCACAUAUUUCCUCGGUACACGCCACCUCUUUUGUUAAUUUAGAGAUUAACCUUCAUCCUUGUCUUCAUGCCAUGGCAUAUCCCAAGUUAUAGGGUAUGGCUAAAAAUAGGGUGAAAAGGGUAAGAAAAUAUUGUGGGUGAUGAAAGAAAAGGCUAAGUGUUUGGCUUCAAAGGGUUGAUGGCACACACAAUGGGUAGGACAUGAGUUUUUAUUUAGUGGCUAGAACAUGCAUAGCCUAACAUCAUUUCUCAAGGUCCAUCCAACUCAAAAGUAAAAGCAUGAGAUGAUUCCAAAAUAGAGAGUAGUUCUUAGUAUUCAACUCAAAAGCCUAAUUGAGAUCAAUUUAAAUAAGAAAGAAAGAAAAUAGUGAAUAAGACUAAUCCCAAAUACUCUCUCAAUGAAUGGCAAUUUGGCUCAAGUAUCUCACAAUGGUAGUCUCCACUAUUUCUCCACAAUCAUCCAAGUAUAGCUAGCUUGUCUAUUAAAAUACUUGAAGCAUGGCCAUGUGAAGUGCUAUACUUAUGAUGCAUAAACUUUCAUGGCAACACUUUAGUUAAAGAAAUAUGAUCAAACAUCACAUAUACAUCACUAUUAGUAAGAGAAAGUAAAAGCUUUAACAAAUUUUUUUUUUUUUUUUAAAAAGUUAAAGGCAUUUUGUGAUUUUUUUCAAACAAAUGUGAGUGAAUUUAUGGGCCAUAAUUGCUUAGGGAUAAAGAAAUUUCAUCAAAAGGAAGAGGACACACCUGGAAUAGCUCCUAGAAACCUCUGAUCACAAAUGGAAUGGAUCAUAAUUGAUUUGGAAUGAAAUUAGAAAAUUCUGGAAAAUUGACCUUUAGCGACGAAAAAUCUGAUGAAACACCGUCGCUAAAAACCCUUUUGUGACGAAAAAUCUUCAUAUUCUGGGUAGGUAGCAGCUAGUCUUUUUUGGGUUUUAGGCCACUUUUUUAGCUUCAAAUCUCCCUAAAACGUCAUGUAAAGCACUUGAGACCCCCAAAACAGUUUCAAAUCAUCAUAAUAACCAUUCUAAACAUGUUGGUGGCUUCAAAUUUGCCUGAAAAACAUCAAAAAGGAAAAUAUGUAAAAUUUUUAAUUUUGACCAAAAUAAGAACAUAAUAACCUAUUUUGCUAUUUUCUGGGUUUUAAAGUCAUCUAAUGGCCAAAACAACAUCUGGAACAUGUUUGCAAUCAUCACGGGGCUAGAAAAAAUCGAGAAAUGUUCUUUGAAACACAAAAUCCUUUCUUUGGAACACAAAAUCUUUUUUUCUUUUUUUUUUCUUUAUGACUCAAAACUCAAACAAAAAACAACUAAACUCCACACCCCCAAAUCUAAAUUAAGCAUUGUCCUCAAUGUUUAAAGUAAAUGCAUGUAAAAAUUAGUAAAGGCAUAGAAGGAUGGAAAAUAAAGGGAAAACAAAACAAAAUAAAAUAAAAAGGAACGAAGGUACCUAGUUGGGUUGCCUCCCAACAAGCGCUUGAUUUAUAGUCCCCAGCCCGACUUGCGAGGUCAUCACUUUGGAUCAUGUAGAGGAAUGAAAGUUCGCUGUUGAUCAAAAUUGACUUCCAAGUAUGGCUUCACUCAUUGGCCAUUUACUUUGAAAAUAGUACCUUGUUCGUCAUGCCUAACCUCAAUAACUCCAGAAGGAAAUACUUGCACUAUUGUAAAUGGUCCAGACCAACGUGAUUUCAACUUCCCGGGAAAGAGUCGGAGGCGGGAAUUAAAUAGGAGAACUUUCUAACCAGCGAAGAAAUCCUUCCUUAGAAUAUGCUUAUCAUGCCAUUUCUUUGUACGCUCCUUGUAUAUCUUGGAAGUCUCAUAAGCUUCAUUACAAAACUCAUCCAUAUCAUUCAAUUGAAUUGCCCGUUUUUCUCCUGCUGCAAUCAUGUCAAAAUUGAGUGUUUGGAGUGCCCAAUGUGCCUUAUGUUCGAGCUCAACCGGUAAGUGACAAGCUUUCCCAAAAACUAGACGAUAAGGAGACAUGCCAAUUGGUGUUUUGAACUCCGUUCGAUAGGCACAUAAGGCAUCAUCCAAUUUCAGUGACCAAUCCUUUCUUGAAGCACUCACCGUCUUUUCCAAAAUUCGUUUUAAUUCUCUAUUGGAAACUUCAACUUGUCCACUAGUUUGUGGAUGAUAGGGAGUAGUAACCUUGUGGGUAAUACCAUAUUUAGCUAAAAGAUAAUUAAAUUGACGAUUGCAAAAGUGUGUACCUCUGUCACUGAUGAUGCCACGCGGAGUCCCGAAUCUGGUGAAAAUAUUUUUUUGGACAAAUUUGACAACCACCUUGGCGUCAUUGGUAGGGAGAGCGACGGCUUCAACCCAUUUCGACACAUAAUCAACAGCCACCAAUAUGUACUUGUUCUUCCAAGAUUCAGGGAAAGGUCCCAUGAAAUCUAUUCCCCAGACAUCGAACAAUUCAACCUCUAGAAUAUUAUUCAAUGGCAUCUGAUUUCUGCUAGAAAUAUUUUCAGUGCGUUGGCAUCGAUCACAGGCAGCUACAAAUGCAUAGGCAUCCUUGAACAAAGUUGGCCAAAAAAAUCCAGAUUGUAAUACCUUGGCUGCUGUUUUGGAGGCACCAAAAUGCCCCCCACAUGCCAAUGUGUGGCAAUGUCGCAAUAUGUCUUCCAUCUCCUCCUCAGGCACACAUCUCCGUAUAACUUGGUCAGGGCAAUGUUUCCACAAAUAUGGGUCGUCCCAAUAAUAAUGUUUAACCAAGGAGAAAAACUUCUUCUUCUGAUGAAACGAUAAAUCAGCUGGAAUGAUAGUACUAGCUAAAUAAUUCACAAAGUCAGCGUACCAAGGAGCUUCGGAUGAUCGAAUGGCAUACAAGUGUUCAUCAGGGAACAUCUCCAUAAUGGGUGCAGCAUCAUCACUCAUCUUUACCUCACUGACCAGCCGCGAAAGAUGGUCAGCUACCACGUUUUCGGACCCCUUUUUGUCUCGAAUUUCAAGAUCAAAUUCUUGGAGCAGUAGUACCCAGCGAAUUAAUCGUGGUUUUGCAUCUUUCUUCGAAAGUAAAUACUUUUAUCCAAGGAGAAGAUUACUACUAACAAUUCUUUCUCCGUGGUGGUAUAAUUCCGCUGGGCGUCAUUCAAAGUACGACUGGCAUAAUAAAUUACAUGAAGUAAUUUAUUUCUUCUUUGACCCAAAACUGCCCCUACCGCAUAGUCACUAGCAUCACACAUAAUCUCAAAAGGCAAGUCCUAAUCCGGUGCGACAAUGACAGGUGCAGAAGUAAGCUUCUCUUUCAAGACAUUAAAAUUAAAUUCUACAUCUUUAAGAAGGAGAUUGCAUAAGGGCUUCGUGAUUUUGGAAAAAUCUUGGAUAAACCGCCGAUAAAAUCCAGCAUGACCCAGAAAGCUUUGAAUCCCCUUUAUUGUAGUGGGCGGUGGCAAUUUCUCUACGGUAUCAAUUUUUGCCUUAUCAACCUCUAUGCCUUUAGCUGAAAUUUUAUGCCCUAGGACUAUCCCUUCUUGCACCAUAAAAUGGCAUUUCUCCCAAUUCAAAACCAAAUUGGUUUCUUCACAUCUUUUCAAAACUAAUGCCAAAUUAUGUAAACAAGAAUCAAAUGAUGAGCCAAAAACAGAAAAGUCAUCCAUAAAAACCUCAAUGAAGCGCUCCACCAUGUCCGAAAAGAUGCUCAUCAUGCAACGUUGAAAGGUGGCAGGGGCGUUACACAACCUGAAAGGCAUGCGCCUGUAUGCAAAAGUGCCGAAUGGGCAUGUGAACGUCGUCUUUUCUUGAUCUUCAGGUGCAAUUGGAAUUUGAUUAUACCCAGAAUAUCCAUCUAAAAAACAAUAAUAUGAAUGCUCAGCAAGUCUUUCCAACAUCUGAUCAAUGAAAGACAAGGGAAAGUGAUCUUUCCUUGUCGCAGUGUUCAAUUUCCUGUAGUCUAUGCAGACAUGCCAUCCUGUAGUUGUUCUUGUCGGGAUCAACUCAUUCUUAUCAUUUUUCACCACUGUAAUACCCCCUUUUUUCGGUAGGACUUGAACUGGACUCACCCAACUACUAUCUGAAAUCGGGUAAAUUAUUCCAGCAUCUAAUAACUUUAAUAUUUCAGCUCGCACAACUUCUUUCAUAUUCGGAUUUAAUCGACGCUGAUGCUCAACUGAAGGUUUAAAAUCAUCUUCCAUCAGAAUACGGUGCAUACACAUGGAACGGCUAAGUCCCUUAAUAUCUGCAAUAGUCCACCCUAUUGUCGUUUUAUGCUCCCUCAAAACUCAUAGUAAUUUAUCUUCUUCUAGUUUACUCAAAUUUGCAGCAAUAAUCACAGGAAGAGUUUCAAAAUUACCCAAGUAUGCAUAUCUUAAGUGGGAAGGUAGGGGCUUCAAUGUGAGGGUUGGUGCAGUAAUGACACUGGGUUGUGGCUUGGAGGUUGUGACGCUAAGCUCCUCAAAUUCGCGCCACCUUCCAGGGGGGCGCGGUUUCAUUGCUUCCAAAAAGUACACCAUCUCAGAAAUUUUAGGAUCCUCAUGCUCAGUAGUAACGGAAUGCACAAGGCAAGCCUUCAAUGGAUCAUAUGGAUGUUCUUCUUUAAAUUUUUCAGAGACAACUUUUUCCACUAUAUCCACUCGGAAGCAAGAGUCUGAUUCCACUGGGUACUUUGUUGCUUCAAAGACAUUGAAGGUCACCUGCUCAUCAGCCACUCGCAAAAUUAAUAAACCUUUGUCCACAUCAAUUAAUGUCUUCCCGGUUUUUAGAAAGGGGCGGCCUAAGAUAAUAGGGGUUUCGGCAUCUUCUUCCAUGUCUAAAAUCAAAAAAUCUGCUGGAAAAAUGAGCUUAUCAACUUUGACUAACACAUCCUCAAUUAUGCCUUUGGGAUAUGUUAUGGACCUGUCCCCCAUCUGCAAAGAAACAGUGGUUGGGUGAAUUACCCCCAACCCAAUAUGUUUAGCAAUAGAAGAAGGCAUUAGAUUAAUACUGGAUCCUAAAUCACAUAAAGCUUUUUCAAAGUAAGUGGUUCCAAUAGUGCAAGGUAUAGUAAAACUCCCUGGAUCCUUUAGCUUAGGUGGUAGCUUCCUCUGCAAAAUAGCACUGCAUUCUUCGGAUAAUUUCACUAUCUCAUGUUCGCCCAAUUUCCUCUUCUUUGAUAUAAUAUCCUUCAUGAAUUUGGCAUAACUCGGCAUUUGCUCCAAAGCAUCGGCAAAAGGAAUAUUUAUUUGUAAUUUCUUGAAGAUAUCAAGAAAUUUCAAAAAUUGGGCAUCCACUUUGUUUUUUCGAAGACGUUGAGGGAACGGGAUUGGCGGUACAUAUGGCUUUACAAGGGCAGCAGGUUGAGAUAAUUUCUCUACAGUAGCAAGUUCAAUUUCUGGAGACAUUUCAUCAAGUUGUGCAGUAGUUCCAGUAGUGAUAGACGACGACGACGGCACGUUAGUAAUUUCUGAUGUCUCUGCAGUUUGUUGAUGGAUAUUAUUUUCUUCAUCCAAGUCUACUGCUGUUUUUAUUGGCCUCCCAUUCCGAAGAGUUAUCGCCUCCGCAUGUUCUUAGUUUUUUGGAUUAAUCUCUGUUUGGCUUGGCAAAGCUCCAUUUACUCUUCCUGUCAAUACAUUAGCUAGCUGGCCCAUCUAAACCUCCAAGUUUCGAAUAGAGGCAGCUUGGUUCUGAAGGGUCGUCUCGGUUUUGCUCAUAAAUUGAUUUGUAUUGACAGAGAGAGUGUUGACAUUUCCAGCAAGUUGAGUUAUUAUAUCCUCCAAUCCAUGCUUCUUUUCUUGAGGUGUGAAACCAGGUGGAGGUCCCUGUACAUUUUGGUUAUUACUCCAUGAAAAAUUCGGAUGGUUCUUCCAUCCUGGGUUAUAAGUGUUGGAGUAAGGAUUAUUCCGUUGUCGAUUAAAAUCAGAGACUUGAUUCACUUGUUCAGAUGUUGAUGUGAAUGGACUAGCUCCACACUCGUUGCCAUGAUGAGGUCCUGCACAAAAUUCACAACUUAAAUUAGUAGACUGAAUAGCAUUAACAUUUAAAAUACCAAGUUGUUUAGACAUAGUAGAAAUUUGUGCAGUUAACGCAGAUAUGGCGUCAAUCUCAUGAAUUCCAGCUUUCUUUGGUGUUGAUCUCUCACUAGGCCAUUGAUAGUUAUCUGACGCCAUCUCUUCCAGCAAGUUAUACGCUUUAGUUUCUGUUCUUCCCAUCAAAGCUCCUCCGGCUGCAGCAUCAAUUGUUGUUUUGCUUGUAUUGUUCAAACCAUUGUAGAACGCUUGAACUUGCAUCCAAGUAGGUAGGGCAUGAUGUGGGCACUUCCUUAGCAUAUCCUUGUAUCUGUCCCAUGCUUCAUAAAAAGGUUCCAUGUCAUUCUGAGCAAAUGACAUGAUGUCAUUCCUGAGUUUCGCAGUCUUUGCAAGAGGAAAGAAUUUAGCUAAAAAUUUAUUGGCCAAGUCGUCCUAUGUAGUAAUCGAAUUAGGUGGUUGAGAAUUCAACCACGACUUUGCCUUUUCCUUUAAUGAGAAAGGAAAAAGCCUUAAGCGAACAACAUCAUUGGUAGCUCCAUUGCACUUAAAUAUGUCACAUAUCUCCAAGAAAUUAGAGAUAUGGCUAUUAGGGUCUUCUUGAGGUAAACCACAAAAGAUGGAGGAUUGCUGAAUCAUUGAAAUUAUGGCUGGUUUGAUUUCAAAAUUAUUGGCAUCAAUGGUUGGACGACGAAUGCUCGAUGGUGAUGCCACCACAGAUGAGACAUCAUAGUCCCUUACUGGUUUUGCUUCCUCAGCCAUAGGUGAUGGCUUUUCCAAUAUUGCGUCCUUGCCCCUUUUGAGUUUGUUAAGCUUGUGAAGCGUUCGCUCGAUCUCUAGAUCUAAUGGUACAAGCACAAGACUCUGCGAACGUCUCCCAAAACUCAUGCACUAGGUGAAGUACCUAAAAAAACAAAAAACAAAAUUCAAAUUAAAAAAAUUCAAAUUAAAAUCCAAAUCAAUCUAUAUCGAUAUUAAUAAAAUUUAAAACACUCCCCGACGGGGGUGCCAAAAACUUGUUGUGAUAUUUAUUGCAAGCGCACAAUUCGCACAAGUAAUAUAGUGAUGACUGAAGUGUCGUUCCCACGAAGAGUGAUUUAAUUUACCAAGUACCGAUUGUGAUUAACCCAAGACUUUAUUUGAACAAUUGAUGAUGAGAUUUGAUUGAUUAAUUAACUAAAACAAUGAAUAAAAACAAGCGUAGAAAAAUAAAGUAGUGAGAUUCAAGUUAUGAGAGCACUAGAGCUUCCGAUUUCACCAUAGCCAAUUCUACCCAAUUCCCUUAGCAUGUUAAUCCUAAUUAUUCUCUAUGUUGACAGUUGAUUUUCCCUACUUUAUUCGAUACUCCAUCCCUGGUUAUAUCAAAAGUAUUCUCAUUACCAACCCACUCUAUCCAUAGUAAUGGAAUUAAGAUAAUAAGAACCCAUUAAAUUCCUUGGAAAACCUACAAAACAACCACAUAAGUCAUGACAAACAUCCCUGUCUAAUCAUGUAACUCAUGGCAUCUAUUACAAGAAGCAACCCCAAAUUGGAUAUUCCUAUCGUCAAUUUAGCAUCAAAACAAUUAAAUGUUGGCCAAACAUUCAAAGCAUUAAGCAUGGUAAUAAAUACUCAAGAUGGAAAAAAUACUUGGAAUUAACAUCGACUAAAGUAAUUGAGUAUUCAUGGCUAGGCUACAUCGUAGCCCUAGCAAGAAGAAAUUAGUUCAUGACAACUUUAAUAAAAACCAUGAUAAAUAGUAUCAUAGGAAAGAAGUAACCAAUUGAAGAUUUGAUCUCUGCACGACAGCAACUCUAGCUCCAGGUUGUCUUCUUUGUCUCUCUAAAACUCUCUCAACAAUAGAUGAUGGGUAGAUGAUGGAGGAUGGAUGAUGGGUAAUGGAUCCUUUCAACAAUGACCUAAACUCCCUAUUUAUAAAACUCCUAGAAAUCCUACCUAAGGAAUAAUUACAAUUGUUAUAAAAAUAGGAUUCCUUCUAAAAUAAGGUCUUCUUUAUUUCUUCUUGUUUGACUUGAUAAGACUUGCACCAUCUUGAACUAGGAAAUUUGACAACAUUCCUUGCAACAAAAGGAAUGACUUGGCUUCUUUUUAAUUGAUCUUCAUCUCCUUGCCUUUUUUAGCACAUUUUCUCCUAUUUCACAAUUCCUUCACAAAUCUCACAAAACCAAUUAAAAACAACCAAUUUAAUCUAAAAAAUUAAUAAAUAAAUAAACAAAGGAGGCAUAAAAUAUAUAUAUAUAAAAUAUAGACUUAUCACUAUAUAUAUAUUCUUUACAAAAAUUUAAAGCUCCUUAAAGCCCAUAGAAACCGGUAAAGUCACAGUUUUUUUGACUUUUGAAUAUGGGCAAUACACGAGAAGAUGGACAGUAUUUUGAUAACUCUGUUUAGACUAAAAGCUAAGGACUGUCUAUUAACAAAUAAUUCCAACAUGCAACCUUUUUAAUUAGUCUACUUCCUGAUUGCAGAUGGGGAAGAACUCCACUUAAUGAAGCCCGCAUAGGUGGAAAUAAGAAACUAAUCAAACUGUUUGAAGUUGCUAGAACUUUGUAGUUGUCAGAGUUAUCUAAUCAAUAUCAUCAAGAAAUUAGCUAGCUAAGCAUUUCUCUGAUCAAAAUGAUAAAUUGUCGAUCGGCAAUACAUUUAUCCUUUGAUUAAAUGAUAAAUGUUUAUAAGACUUGGAACAAAAGUUCUGAGAUGUUAUAUGUGUGAAUUUUGUUAGAAUCUUUAAUUCUCUUUUCGAUUUUCUAAUAUGCGUACCUUGGAAAAUAUGAAUUGAACUAUUAUUAUUGUUGAUCUGACUUGGCAAUUCUCAGCGUCAAUUAUUCUUACUAGGCUUGUAAUAAUCAAGGAUCGAGUAAUUAAUUAAUUAAAGCUCUUGAAUCAUGGAAGUAAUGCAUGAAUGCAUCAAGUAAUCCGGAUCAGAAUAGUAAAACCAAAGAAGCACAACUUUUAUUCCCGCAGAUAGUCUUAGCCUAGGUUACAUAAAUUAAUGCAUGAAUGCAUGAGCAGCAGCUGCAUGCAAUAUUAUUGAACCCAAAUCACAACAAAAGGAAAACUUAAGACAAUGCCACUUUCGCAGGGAACGCGAUUGCAUUUAGCGUAUGCAACAAGCCUUUUAAACCUAUAGGUGACCCUGAUAGGACGAGUGAAGUCUCGUGAGGGUUUCCAGUGACGCUACCCACAAACAUCGUAUUAACUUAACAGGAUGAUCAUCCUGGAAGUUUUUCGACAAUGAAGAAAUGUUCAUGGGUGGGGCCUCCAGGUUCUGCAAUGAGGGCAUUUUCGAACUCGUUUCCAGAUUUUGGCUUUAAAAGGUUUCCCAUUUUCUCAUGGUGGAACUUGUAUAUGCCUUCGGUGUACGGUCCUGGUGGUUUCACAACCUCAGGCUUGAAGAGUGUACAUGACCACAGCGUUUUAUUUGGCUGUUUCUCGUCAGCCCCGGCCACAAUCCACGAACUGUCUUGGCUUGCCGUUAUCCAGUAUUUGUCGUUGUAGGUGGAUUUUAUAUGCACCAGACUGGGGAGGUUUACGUCCUUCUCCACUUUGAACCUUGCGUAUUUGCUCUGAACAUCCUCUCCGGAGCAUUGGAGAAUAUCUUGCAUCUUUUCGGUGGCUUGGUCUUUGUAGACCAAGUAUUUACCGCUCGUGAAUGAUUUAAGAGCAAUGAACUUUGGUAAUUCUGCCAUUUCUGAUGAUCUCUCGCUCGCGCUUCAAUUUUUUUUUAUGUAAACUCACUUCUCUCUCUCUCUCUCGUUGCUUAUUGCUUUUCCUAACUCCAACCUGCUGUGCUAUUUAUAAUCAAGCAAACCCAAACCCUGCAUGCAGCUCUGGCUUCUUUUUCUUGCUGUACUGGCCCGCGAUAAGAAAAUUGAAGCCACAAAAAAAAAAAGUCGAGCCAGGUGGCAGUUUUGAAAGGUCAAGUAAUAUUGUUCUUGAUAUAAAACAAACUAAAGCGUGCUCCACGUCUUCAAAUAAAACAAAGUUAAGGCUAGUAAUUAUCGACAUCGAUAUUUUGCGAUAUUAUCGUCGAUAUUGUCAAUAUUUAUACGAUAUGUACAUGGAUAUGUUUCGAAAUAUCCGUGAUUCAAAAAAACCGAAAUAUCCUCGAUAUUUCCUCGAUAUUAUCGAUAUUUCAGACUAUGAUGUGAACUUGAUUAUGUAAUUUCUACUACAUGCACUUAUGGGACAUAACCAUUUAUCAAUUAUAAUAAUGUCACAUAAAAAUUGAAGCCACAAAAAAAAAAAAGUCAAGCCAGGUGGCAGUUUUGAAAGGUCAAGUAAUAAUGUUCUUGAUAUAAAACAAACUAAAGCGUGCUUCACGUCUUCAAAUAAAACAAAGUUAAGCCUAGUAAUCUAUUCUCUGUUGUAAUGUGAACUUGAUUAUGUAAUUUCUACUACAUGCACUUAUGGACAUAACCAUUUAUCAAUUAUAAUAAUGUCAUCGACUAGGACUGAACAGCGACGGCUGAAGGCCCAGCUCAUUCUUAAUCUUAGGCAACACAUGUGCUGGGUUUCAUUUCAUAAAUUCAUAACCAAACCAAGCUAGGUCAUAGAAGGAAGCAAAUUAAGCAAUUGAAAUCCACAUCGGCUGAAAAAAUCUCUCUUGAAAAACCAUAUAAUUGGAGGGUCUGCAAAACUAGACUGUGUGUACGUAGCCAACUUUAUUAAAAUGCCAAUUCAAGUCCUAUGAACACACAUUUCCUUGAAAGUUGCUGGCCAAAUUUUCUUUGUUUUGGUUUUCAAUGAGUUCGAUUUCCUUGAGCAUCACUGAAAAGAUAUUAUAUAUGUGAAAUCUUUUUGUCAGUCUUUGAAUUUACCCAAUGUGGGUGAUCAAUUUUUAUGAUUGCAUUCUAGACUUCUCCUUAGUACAAAACAAAACUACGUGAUUGAUUGAAACGUCAUUAAUUAAUUUAGACAUAUAGGCAUUUGCAUUAAUUCAUUCUAGAUAGUAGAUACACAUCUCCAUAACGCAGAAAGAAUUAGCAUGUCCUUAAUGUGAACUUCGUUAAUAAAUUGAAGAGGAGUUGGAGAACAGUUAGAUGAAUGAAUUAAAGAGGAGUUGGAGAGACGCGGAUGCAAGGGCACACUAAGAAAACUACAGGGUUUAUUUAUAGUUUUAGUGCUAAUAAUGGGUAUAUGACUAAAUAUCUCUAUAAAAAAAAUUAGUGAAUUUAAUCAGAAUGUAAUGACUUAUAGAAUUUUACCUUGGGGCACUUUAAGUCCGUUCCUCCUUAAUAAAGCAUCACUUAAUAGAUUUGAAUUAUGAGCUGAACCCUCCCACCCGCUAAAAACGUAAAUGAAUUCUAAAUCAAAGUUACAAGCUACUGAAACCAUUUAUCAAUUAUAAUUAUGUCAUUAAUUAGGAUUGAACAAUAUGAUUGUAAUGCCAUUUCUAAAGCGUGCUUCACGUCUUCAAAUAAAACAAAGUUAGGCCUAGUAUUUUCUUCUUUAUUGUUUCGGUGCUUAAUGUGAACUUCAUUAUGUAACUUCUAUUACUUGUACUUAAGGGCCAUAGCCA
rnacentral:lncRNA from 1 species